AAAUAAGAAGCAAAUUUUUGCAUUUAAUUUCGACUUAAAAAUUAGAGUAUAAAUCAUACUCCUUAUUUA
rnacentral:tRNA from 2 species